AGACCCUUCCAUGCAAACCUCAGAGAUGGAUGUGUGGGGAAAAUCCCACCAGAGAACAGUUAAUGAAAUACUCAUACAGGCAGCCGACAAUCAUGCCAUGUUCAAAGCUAAUUAUAUUACCUUUCCUCCCCAUUCUGAUGCUCGAUUUUAACGUCAGCAGGUCGGCUUGAUCAUGUCUACAUGUCUGCUCAUAAGAUACUUGCGUUUAUGAGCGGUUGAACAGGUGGACCUAAUAAAGUGGCCGAUGAUGGCAGUGGACGGUUUACAGGAGGAGGCAUGGCCAGGAGGAUGUGACGUCACAGCACACCAGCGUGAUACUGAGAACAGUGAUAAGAUUUCUCCAGGACCAGGAUUCCCUUGAUGACAUCUGGCCAGGUUCAUCUUCAGAGUGUUUGUUAACACUCCUGAAUACAGCGGCAUUCCCAAAGUCACGUGAACCAAAGAGCAAGCAAUUGGCUACAGACUUACCAGGUCGGCCCAGUGGUUUCCAGGGUUUGGCGUCAUCACCACCACGACGUGGCCCAUCAUCCAUACCUCUCCUUCCAACUCGGUCAUCAUCUCCUCUUCUGGGGCCCCAGUCGUCAUCAGCUCCACGCCUGGGUCCCCUGGACUCAUCCAUGCCUCUACGAGGACCUCUGUCAUCAUCAAAGCCACGUCUAGGACCACGGUCGUCAUCUCCACCACGCCUUGGACCACGAUCAUCGUCGAAACCUCUGCGUGGACCACGGUCAUCAUCCAACCCUCUGCGAACAGGGCGGUCUUCAUCGUCACCACGGCGUGGGCCUCGUUCAUCGUCAAAGACCCUACGGGGACCUCUGUCCUCUCCGCUUCUACGAGGACCAUCUCGUCUGAAAGGUAACUCUUUCUCCUCCUUGUCA